UUUAAAUGUCUAAAAGAAAGAGAAAGUGGCAGGAGCGCUUCUGGUAUCCUUUUAACCACCGGUGCUCAUGGAAGGGAAUACAAUUCACAAAAAGGAAGAAGAAUUAUGACCAAAAAAAUCAUAAAAACUCAUGUCCAGGCACUCAAAGUUGGUUACAAAAUGUGAUAAAAAAGGCCUUACAAAUACAGCGUGAUUGAGCCUUCCUCAGGGU